rnacentral:lncRNA from 1 species
GAAAAACUCACAAUCUGACCCUUAGACCUAAGGAAUAACAGUACCGGGGUCCUCAGACUUAACACAGAGAAGUCCCCAAAAUUUUACACAGAUACCCUUGGUCAAAAGAAAAAGACACAACCGAGCCCUCGGGCGAGGCGGACAGGGGUUGGGCGAAAUAGAUAGGGUCGGGCGAAACAGACAAGGGUCGGGCGAGACGGACAGGGGUCGGGCGAGAUGGACAAGGAUCAGUGAGACGGACAGGGGUCGGCAGUUCACCUUUGGUCCUACUGACAAAGUAUUAGGGUUGGAAAGAAGCAAGCUCAGGCGGAAUGACGAAAGACGUUAAGCUUCGACGGCGGUGGAGCUUUUUGCGGACAACAAGCAAGCUCUACCGCUGCGCGGAAGAAGGCGAAGCGGCUGGCGUGGUGUUGAGCGG